UCAUGAACAACGCAAAUUCUAUCACACUCACAAAAAAGCAUUUUCGGUUCGAGACACCCGCUGCCCCCGGGCAGUGCGAGGUUCCAUGAGAACGAAAACCGUCCGUGUAGUGGAGAGCAGACUCGCCUGAUCUUGGGUGCGGUUUCUUCCUGCUUUCGAGCUGUGGGAGAGAGCGCAAUGAUCGGCCGUACAU
rnacentral:sRNA from 1 species